rnacentral:rRNA from 1 species
GGUUCUUAGAUCGUACAAUCCUACUUGGAAAACUGUGGUAAUUCUAGAGCUAAUACAUGCAACACAGCUCCGACCUUGCGGGAGGAGCGCUUUUAUUUGAUCAAAACCAAUCGGUCGCAAGGCCGUCUUCUUGGUGAAUCUGGAUAACUUUGUGCUGAUCGCACGGGCUUGCCCCGGCGACGUAUCUUUCAAAUGUCUGCCCUAUCAACUUUCGAUGGUACGUGAUAUGCCUACCAUGGUUGUAACGGGUAACGAA